rnacentral:lncRNA from 1 species
AUGGGCAAGAAAAGCAUCAUCUCUUCACCAAGAGUCCCCCAGCUAGAAAUAGCCCGGCCAGUAGGGAGAGCAACUGGUCGAAAGGAAAACAAACUGGCACUUUUUAUACAUGAUCAUUGGGUAGGAGGCAUUUUGGUGGUGCAAACACUGAUCCUGGAGUCAAGAAGACCUGAGUUCAAGUACAGCCUCAGAAACACUGACUUGCUAGGUAAUGGAGGAAUUGAAGAAUUUGAGAGUUGCAAGAGACUUCCGCAGGUAUGUAGUCCAACCCAUAAAGAAAGGAUUCCCCAAUAUAAUCUAUUUUCAACAAGUGAUUGUCCAACUUCUAGUUGA